UAUAGAUCACUGUUGAUUCAAACAAGAAGAAUGGAGAAGUCCUUCGAAGUCCUGUCCAUGCUCCUCUGUGUUCAUCUGAACUUGGUGAGUGGUCAAGCAAACACUGUAGUACAGAGACCUUCCAUCCUGAACGUCUGGGAAAAAGAAACAGCUGUCAUCAACUGCACUUAUACAAAUGCAGCAUCUAAUUAUUUUUCCUGGUAUAAGAAGGAAGAACAGAAAGGUUUCACUCUCCUAACAGACAUUCGGUCAAAUGUGAACAGAAGGAAGAAGGGAAGAUUUGAGGUGAUAUUGGAUACAAAUGUUAAACUUGUUUCCUUACAUAUAACAGCUGCACAAACAGAAGAUUCAGCCUUCUACCUCUGUGCACUAGGCACACAGUGUUCUUCAGGUACCUGCAGUCUGGGCGCAAACUCACAGCUAGGGCUGCAGUGA